CUAUAAAAGGUUAAGGACAAAAUUGGAAUUUCACAUAUGGAAAUACUACAAAAGGUUAAGGACAAAAUUGGAAUUUCAACUUGAGAAUAUUAGAAAAGGUGAGGGGCAAAAUUGAAAUUUUACAUGGGAGUCAUCAUCCAAUUCUUAGAAGAUUCAAGAGAAUUGGAGAAGAUAGAAGUGAGAAAAAUUGAGGAAAACAAAGAAGAAGAAGAAAAUCGGCUAAGGAAAAAAAUAGGGAGAAAGUUAAAAUCUUGCUCCAAAAAAAUAUUUUCUCCUAGUAUUCCUACUAAUUCAAGGAUCCUCUACAACAUGAUGAAGUUAUUUUGGAAGAUAGGAGCCUUGUUUGGUUAAUUGGGUGUCUUGGUGAAGUGAAGAAGUUGGAAGGAAAAGAUUUUGGAGGAAACGGGAAUUGAACUUGGACAACCGUAAAAGGCCAAAAAGGUACCGAAGUUCGAUUUGUUGAUCCACCUGUUUAGGAUAUUUGCUGCGUCGUUGACAGUGCUCCCUUGUUCGGAGCUUGUAUUUUGGUACUGACUUUAUUUCUGUAUAUUUAGAUAUGUUGGUCAGGGGUACGACGGGGCCCUGUCCCGUCGUAUGACUAUGCUAUCAUCUGUAGAGGUCUGUAGAUAGAGUUAUGUUGUGGGUUUUGUAUAUAUGGUUUGGAUUUUUGUGUGUUUUGUGACAACCUUUCAACUCU